UACAGAGGGUGCGAGCGUUAAUCGGAAUUACUGGGCGUAAAGCGUGCGUAGACGGUCAUGUAAGUCGGGUGUGAAAGCCCCGGGCUCAACCUGGGAAUUGCAUUCGAGACUGCAUGGCUAGGAUGCGGAAGAGGGAAGCGGAAUUUCCGGUGUAGCGGUGAAAUGCGUAGAUAUCGGAAGGAACACCAGUGGCGAAGGCGGUUGCCUGGAGCUUUGCUGACGCUGAUGCGCGAAAGCGUGGGGAGCGAUCCGG
rnacentral:rRNA from 1 species